rnacentral:rRNA from 1 species
AUUGAACGCUGGCGGCAGGCCUAACACAUGCAAGUCGAGCGGAUGACGGGAGCUUGCUCCUUGAUUCAGCGGCGGACGGGUGCGUAAUGCCUAGGAAUCUGCCUGGUACUGGGGGACAACGUUUCGAAAGGAACGCUAAUACCGCAUACGUCCUACGGGAGAAGGCAGGGGACCUUCGGGCCUGGCGCUAUCAGAUGAGCCUAGGUCGGAUUAGCAAGUAUGUGAGGUAAGGGCUCACCUAGGCUACGAUCCGUAACUGGUCUGAGAGGAUGAUCAGUCACACUGGAACUGAGACACGGUCCAGACUCCUACGGGAGGCAGCAGUGGGGAAUAUUGGACAAUGGGCGAAAGCCUGAUCCAGCCAUGCCGCGUGUGUGAAGAAGGUCUUCGGAUUGUAAAGCACUUUAAGUUGGGAGGAAGGGCAGUAAGCUACUACCUUGCUGUUUUGACGUUACCGACAGAAUAAGCACCGGCUAACUCUGUGCCAGCCGCCGCAGUAACAC